rnacentral:rRNA from 1 species
UACGAAGGGUGCAAACGUUGCUCGGAAUUAUUGGGCGUAAAGCGCACGUAGGCGGCUUUGCAAGUCGGAUGUGAAAUCCCUCGGCUUAACCAAGGAAGUGCAUCCGAAACUGCAGAGCUUGAGUACUUAAGAGGAUCGCGGAAUUCCCGGUGUAGCGGUGAAAUGCGUAGAGAGUCGGGAGGAACACCAGAGGCGAAAGCGGCGACCUGGACAGGUACUGACACUCAACUACGAAAGCGUGGGGAGCAAACAGG